UACGGAAGGUGCAAGCGUUAUCCGGAAUCACUGGGUUUAAAGGGUGCGUAGGCGGUUAGAUAAGUCAGAGGUGAAAGCUCAUCGCUCAACGAUGGAAUUGCCUUUGAUACUGUUUAACUUGAAUUAGGUUGAGGUUAGCGGAAUGAGUCAUGUAGCGGUGAAAUGCAUAGAUACCAUAAAGAACACCGAUAGCGAAGGCA
rnacentral:rRNA from 1 species